CCUACGGGUGGCAGCAGUGGGGAAUAUUGGACAAUGGGGGGAACCCUGAUCCAGCCAUGCCGCGUGUGUGAAGAAGGCCCUCGGGUUGUAAAGCACUUCCAGUGAGGAAGAACGCCUGGUGGUUAAUACCCAUCAGGAAAGACAUCACUCACAGAAGAAGCACCGGCUAACUCCGUGCCAGCAGCCGCGGUAAUACGGAGGGUGCGAGCGUUAAUCGGAAUUACUGGGCGUAAAGCGCGCGUAGGUGGCUUGAUAAGCCGGUUGUGAAAGCCCCGGGCUCAACCUGGGAACGGCAUCCGGAACUGUCAAGCUAGAGUGCAGGAGAGGAAGGUAGAAUUCCCGGUGUAGCGGUGAAAUGCGUAGAGAUCGGGAGGAAUACCUGUGGCGAAGGCGGCCUUCUGGACUGACACUGACACUGAGGUGCGAAAGCGUGGGUAGCAAACAGGAUUAGAUACCCUAGUAGUC
rnacentral:rRNA from 1 species